rnacentral:lncRNA from 13 species
CUUUGUCUUCAGCUACCAGGGCCUAUAGUGAAUCUACCACCUUUGUUGACUGCUUCUUCUUCCCUACUUAUUGCUAUAGAAGCUACCUGAGCUCAUUGUCCCUGGAGAUGGACCAAAUAGAAGAACAAGCAGUGCCUAUGUGGUGAACUUCAAGAGAAAUCACCUUGAACUGAAAUUUCGUAGCUAUCUGUCUGUGACACAACAGUGAGAUCCUUUGAGGAAGAGGAUUUUGUCCUGUUUUGUUCAUUCAAGUCAGCCCCAAUCCUGCUCUACUAGAUGACCC